UUCCGACCGACAAGCUGUCUUCAUCAUUGUAUGUUAGGAGGACCUCUGACCGUACCUCAUUGAAAAGGUGCCACUCUGCCUAGUGACUGUAAACUAAACAAAAAUACUAACGUGAAGGUACUGAAGGAGAAGAUAACUUCCCAGUGUCUGGACAGAAGCUCAUAUAUGCUGGCAAAAUCCUGCAAGAUGACACACCUAUUAAAGACUACAAAAUUGACGAGAAGAACUUCGUUGUAGUUAUGGUAUCGAAGGCAAAGUCUGCCACAGCUGCUUCAACACCUUCCUCAGAGGCACCCAAGGCCCCUGUCCAGGACUCUGGGUCGUCUGCGGGCCCGGCCCCUGCAGCCAUCCCUAUCCCCCCCAGAGGAGCCCACACCUCCAGUCGCAGAGCCCCCAGCUCUGAUGUCCUCUUAGUCUUUCCCACAGUAGUUGUGGGUCAAGACUGUCUUCCAAACUGAUCUGUGAUGUAUGGUCUGUUACAUUGCCAUUCAUUGUUCCAUUACUUUAUUGUAUUUGUGGUUACAUUCAAAUCCUGAGGGAGUGCGUAGAUAGACUGUGCACAGACACACAAUAUU